UACAGAGGUCUCAAGCGUUGUUCGGAUUCAUUGGGCGUAAAGGGUGCGUAGGUGGCGUCGUAAGUCGGGUGUGAAAUUUCGGAGCUUAACUCCGAAACUGCAUUCGAUACUGCGGUGCUUGAGGACUGGAGAGGAGACUGGAAUUCAUGGUGUAGCAGUGAAAUGCGUAGAUAUCGUAAGGAAGACCAGUGGCGAAGGCGGGUCUCUGGACAGUUCCUGACGCUGAGGCACGAAGGCCAGGGGAGCAAACAGG
rnacentral:rRNA from 1 species